rnacentral:rRNA from 1 species
AGAGUUUGAUCCUGGCUCAGGAUGAACGCUAGCGGCGUGCCUAAUGCAUGCAAGUCGAACGGUGGCGACAGGUUUCGGCCUGGGGCCAUAGUGGCGGACGGGUGAGUAACACGUUGGUGACCUACCCGGGAGAGGGGGAUAACUGCUGGAAACGGCAGCUAAUACCCCGGAUGUUGGGAGUGUUGGAAGCUUCUAACUGAAGGCGGCGUAUUUGAAAGGAUACGCCAGUGCUCCUGGAGGGGCCUGCGGCCCAUCAGCUGGUUGGUAGGGUAACGGCCUACCAAGGCAAAGACGGGUAGGGGGCGUGAGAGCGCGACCCCCCACACUGGUACUGAAACACGGACCAGAUACCUGCGGGUAGCAGCAGCAAGGAAUAUUGCGCAAUGGACGGAAGUCUGACGCAGCAACGCCGCGUGGAGGAGGAAGUCCUUCGGGAUGUAAACUCCUUUUCUGGGGGAAGAAGGCUUAGGACCGAACGGUCCUACAGCUUGACGGUACCCCAGGAAGAAGGCCCGGCUAACUACGUGCCAGCAGCCGCGGUAAAACGUAGGGGUCGAGCGUUAUCCGGAAUUACUGGGCGUAAAGCGCGUGCAGGCGGUCUGUCAAGUCGGACGUGAAAGCUCCUGGCUCAACUGGGAGAGGCCGUUCGAAACGGGCAGACUAGAGGAUGGUAGAGGCGAGUGGAAUUCCCGGUGUAGUGGUGAAAUGCGUAGAUAUCGGGAGGAACACCAGAGGCGAAAGCGGCUCGCUGGGCCAAUUCUGACGCUCAGACGCGAAAGCUAGGGGAGAGAACGGGAUUAGAAACCCCGGUAUUCCUAGCCGUAAACGAUGUCAACUAGGUGUAGGGGGUCUAAACGCCCUCUGUGCUGCCGCCAACGCAGUAAGUUGACCGCCUGGGGAGUACGGCCGCAAGGCUAAAACUCAAAGGAAUUGACGGGGGCCCGCACAAGCAGCGGAGCGUGUGGUUUAAUUCGAGGCUACGCGAAGAACCUUACCAGGGUUUGACAUGGCGGUGGUAGGAAGGUGAAAGCCGACCGACCCUUCGGGGAGCCGUCACAGGUGCUGCAUGGCUGUCGUCAGCUCGUGCCGUGAGGUGUUAGGUUAAGUCCUGUAACGAGCGCAACCCACGUCGUUAGUUAUAAGUGUCUAGCGAGACUGCCGGUGAUAAGCCGGAGGAAGGUGUGGAUGACGUCAAGUCAGCAUGGCCUUUAUAUCCUGGGCGACACACACGCUACAAUGGCCGGUACAAUGGGUCGCCAAGCCGCGAGGCGGAGCCAAUCCCGUAAAGCCGGUCUCAGUUCGGAUUGUAGGCUGCAACUCGCCUGCAUGAAGUCGGAGUUGCUAGUAACCGCAGGUCAGCCACACUGCGGUGAAUACGUUCCCGGGCCUUGUACACACCGCCCGUCACGUCAUGGGAGUUGGCAACGCCUGAAGUCGGUGGGUGAACGGCCCUUCGGGGCCGACACAGCCGCCUAAGGCGGGGUCGGUAACUGGGACGAAGUCGUAACAAGGUAACCGUA